UGGGGAAUAUUGCACAAUGGAGGGAACUCUGAUGCAGCGACGCCGCGUGAACGAAGAAGGCUUUCGAGUCGUAAAGUUCUUUUAUAUGGGAAGAUAAUGACGGUACCAUAAGAAAAAGCCCCGGCUAACUACGUGCCAGCAGCCGCGGUAAUACGUAGGGGGCUAGCGUUGUCCGGAAUCACUGGGCGUAAAGGGUUCGCAGGCGGAAAUGCAAGUCAGGUGUAAAAGGCAGUAGCUUAACUACUGUAAGCAUUUGAAACUGCAUAUCUUGAGAAGAGUAGAGGUAAGUGGAAUUUUUAGUGUAGCGGUGAAAUGCGUAGAUAUUAAAAUGAAUACCGGUGGCGAAGGCGGCUUACUGGGCUCAUUCUGACGCUGAGGAACGAAAGCGUGGGUAGCAAACAGG
rnacentral:rRNA from 1 species